rnacentral:rRNA from 1 species
AGAGUUUGAUCAUGGCUCAGAUUGAACGCUGGCGGAAUGCUUUACACAUGCAAGUCGAGCGGCAGCGCGGGGCAACCUGGCGGCGAGCGGCGAACGGGUGAGUAAUACAUCGGAACGUGCCCAGAUGUGGGGGAUAGCCCGGCGAAAGCCGGAUUAAUACCGCAUACGAUCUUUGGAUGAAAGCGGGGGAUCGCAAGACCUCGCGCAUUUGGAGCGGCGGAUGGCAGAUUAGGUAGUUGGUGGGGUAAAGGCUUACCAAGCCUGCGAUCUGUAGCUGGUCUGAGAGGACGACCAGCCACACUGGGACUGAGACACGGCCCAGACUCCUACGGGAGGCAGCAGUGGGGAAUUUUGGACAAUGGGCGCAAGCCUGAUCCAGCCAUUCCGCGUGCAGGAUGAAGGCCUUCGGGUUGUAAACUGCUUUUGUACGGAACGAAAAGCCUCUGGUUAAUACCCGGGGGUCAUGACGGUACCGUAAGAAUAAGCACCGGCUAACUACGUGCCAGCAGCCGCGGUAAUACGUAGGGUGCGAGCGUUAAUCGGAAUUACUGGGCGUAAAGCGUGCGCCGGCGGUGAUGUAAGACAGUUGUGAAAUCCCCGGGCUCAACCUGGGAACUGCAUCUGUGACUGCAUUGCUGGAGUGCGGCAGAGGGGGAUGGAAUUCCGCGUGUAGCAGUGAAAUGCGUAGAUAUGCGGAGGAACACCGAUGGCGAAGGCAAUCCCCUGGGCCUGCACUGACGCUCAUGCACGAAAGCGUGGGGAGCAAACAGGAUUAGAUACCCUGGUAGUCCACGCCCUAAACGAUGUCAACUGGUUGUUGGGUCUUAAUUGACUCAGUAACGAAGCUAACGCGUGAAGUUGACCGCCUGGGGAGUACGGCCGCAAGGUUGAAACUUAAAGGAAUUGACGG